GAUGAAGAACGUAGCGAAAUGCGAUACGUAAUGUGAAUUGCAGAAUUCAGUGAAUCAUCGAAUCUUUGAACGCAUAUUGCGCUCUUCGGUAUUCCGAAGAGCAUGCUUGUUUGAGUAUCAGUAAACACCUCAACCUCUUCUUGAUUUUUCAAAAGGAGGGUGGACUUGAGCUAUCCCAACAACCUUUACCGGUCGGCGGGCGGCUUGAAAUGCAGGUGCAGCUGGACUUUUAUCUGAGCUAAAAGCAUAUCUAUUUAGUCCUCGUCAAACAGGAUUAUUACUUUUGCUGCAGCUAACAUAAAGGAUAAUUGUCCUCUUUGCUGACUGAUGCAGGAUUUUACGACACUUUAUGUGUUGUUCAACUCGAUCUCAAAUCAAGUAAGACUACCCGCUGAACUUAAGCAUAUCAAUAAGCGGAGGA
rnacentral:misc_RNA from 1 species